rnacentral:rRNA from 1 species
AGAGACAGCAGUAGCCGCGGUAAUACGUAGGUGGCAAGCGUUGUCCGGAAUUAUUGGGCGUAAAGCGCGCGCAGGCGGAUCAGUCAGUCUGUCUUAAAAGUUCGGGGCUUAACCCCGUGAUGGGAUGGAAACUGCUGAUCUAGAGUAUCGGAGAGGAAAGUGGAAUUCCUAGUGUAGCGGUGAAAUGCGUAGAUAUUAGGAAGAACACCAGUGGCGAAGGCGACUUUCUGGACGAAAACUGACGCUGAGGCGCGAAAGCGUGGGGAGCAAACAGGAUUAGAUACCCCUGUAGUCCCUGUCUCUUAUACA